UACGAAGGGUGCAAGCGUUAAUCGGAAUUACUGGGCGUAAAGGGUGCGUAGGCGGUUGUUUAAGUCUGUCGUGAAAUCCCCGGGCUUAACCUGGGAAUUGCGAUGGAGACUGCAAGGCUAGAAUCUGGCAGAGGGGGGUAGAAUUCCACGUGUAGCAGUGAAAUGCGUAGAGAUGUGGAGGAACACCGAUGGCGAAGGCAGCCCCCUGGGUCAAGAUUGACGCUCAUGCACGAAAGCGUGGGGAGCAAACAGG
rnacentral:rRNA from 1 species